CAGGAAUCAGGAAACAUUUAUUAGCCAAAAUAUGUCAAACAUACAAGGAAUUUGUCUUGGCGGUUAGUGCGCGACAGUAGACAGACAAGACAACAGUGCACAGGUAAUAAAAUAAAGUGGAAUGAAAUGCUAAUGCAAUGGGUUAGUAAGAAUAAGGCUAAGGCUAUGGGUUAGUAUAAAACAGGGGAAUAAAGUUAAACAAAUUUUAAAUAUUAAAAAGUUGAAAAAUAUUAAGCAUAAAGUGCACUAACAAACAAGUAACAGACAAGAGACAAAGUGACAAGUGACAAAGUGAUGAAUUGCAGUUAAAGUGGCAUGUGCAGUGUGAGGGGGAGUGACCGGUGGAGUGUUAUAGUCAGGCAGUGGGGGACCGGGCUCUGUUGAUGAGCCCGACUGCCGACGGGAAGAAACUGUUCGUGUGGCGGGAGGUCUUAGUCCUGAUGGACCUCAGCCUCCUGCCAGAUGGAAGGGGCACAAACAGUUUUUGUCCGGGGUGAGAGGGGUCGGCCGCGAUCUUUUUAGCUCGCUUCAGAGACCUGGAAGCGAACAAGUCCUCCAGGGACGGCAGAUUGCAGCCGAUCACCCUCUCUGCAGAGCGGAUGACACGCUGAAGCCUGCCCGCAGAGAAUAUACAAAGAAUAUUUGUAUAUUGUAUUUGAACGUUUGUAAGAGUGACUUCUCACUAACUCCGACCAAGUUAACUACUCAGGCAACAGCACUCGAUAAAAUAUUUGAACCCAGUUAACGCAACUUUGUUUAAGUCUUCCGAAAGUAACCAAAAUUGACCCUGGAAACGAAACCGCCACCAGCUGCAGUAAGUUAGAUCGGAGAAAGCGAGACGCAUUGGAAGUAAAACAAACAGACGCUCGACAUACAGCGGAGAACUGUGCAGAGGAUUUCCUCCACGUGUCAAACAGAAGGGGGACAUCCACCGAUCCAGCAGCAUCUCGUGGGGGCGGUGAGGAGAGUGUCACCGGGGAUCAAGCGGAUCCAUGUCAGUGUGCCGACACUGUGGAGAAACCGCACUGCUGCGCCUCAACCUCCUCCGAGCAUGUCGGAGGAGGCCCGUCCACCUGUGAGCAGUUUGGGAGUUUCAGUAAAAGAAGCAGUGUGACGACUCAUCAGUGGAUUCACACUGUGAAGCCCUUCAUCUGUGACCAAUGUGGGAGGAGUUUUCGCCAGUAUUCAUCUUGGUCGAAUCAUCAAAGCAUUCACACUGAAAAAUGAAGUGUGGCCUGUGAGUCUCUGGAGUAAAGCGUUAGCCUGGAUUGUUUGCAAGUUCACAUUCAAAUUAAAAUGUUUAUUCUGAAUACAA
ensembl:lncRNA